rnacentral:rRNA from 1 species
UGGGGAAUUUUGGACAAUGGGGGCAACCCUGAUCCAGCCAUGCCGCGUGUGUGAAGAAGGCCUUCGGGUUGUAAAGCACUUUCGGCCGGAACGAAAUCGCGCGGGUGACUAACACGCGUGGAUGACGGUACCGGAAGAAGAAGCACCGGCUAACUACGUGCCAGCAGCCGCGGUAAUACGUAGGGUGCGAGCGUUAAUCGGAAUUACUGGGCGUAAAGUGUGCGCAGGCGGCCGAGCAUGUCGAGUGUGAAAGCCCCGAGCUUAACUUGGGAACUGCGCUCGAAACUACUUGGCUAGAGUGUGGCAGAGGGAGGUGGAAUUCCACGUGUAGCGGUGAAAUGCGUAGAGAUGUGGAGGAACACCGAUGGCGAAGGCAGCCUCCUGGGCCAACACUGACGCUCAUGCACGAAAGCGUGGGGAGCAAAC